GACUGGGGAGAUUUAACCAUCCCACGAACUUCAGAGUCGACUCGCGCGCGCUUCCUUUUCUGCUCUGCGACUCUUCGGAAAAAGCAAUGGCGAAUUUAUUGGUUACUGGGCUAAGAACUCUCUUCGCCGUGUUGUGCUGUGCUAUGGUGGCCACUCUCAUCGUCACCAUCUUCGUCGAUGGUCUUCCUUUUCGCAAAGAGCUCCUUACCCCGUGGAUGGCAGCAACCUUGGUCGACUUCUAUAUCAACGUUAUAACUUUGGCGGUAUGGAUUCUCUACAAGGAAUCGACCUGGCUCUGUGCAAUACUCUGGAUAAUCCUGCUAGUAUGCUUUGGCAGCAUUACUACAUGUGCCUACAUUCUUAUGCAAUUUCUCAAGUUGUCGUCUCAAGAAUCUUUACAAGAUCCCAUGUAUUAUGUUCUGUUGCGGCAUACAGACAAGGUUAACAUGGAGCAAAAGAGGAAGCACUCUUCUGUUGUGACUCUAAGAAUCCUUUUUGUUGCUUUGGGUUGUUUGAUGACGGGAACUUUGCUUUAUACUCUCUUGACUGAUGGUUCUCCUUUCCGCAAAGAGCUUUUCACUCCGUGGAUGCUAGCAACACUUAUCGACUUCUAUAUCAAUGUUGUGGCUUUAUCAGUUUGGGUUUACUACAAGGAAUCAAAUUGGAUUAGUGCCAUCAUUUGGAUAAUUCUAUUGAUAUCUUUUGGCAGUAUUACUACAUGUGUCUACAUUGCUUGGAAGCUGUUUCAGCUCAGCCCCCAAGAUCCAGCAUACCUUGUUUUAUUGAGUAGUGGCAGCAGGCAAGUCUAAUCACAUGUUUGACUUUUGAGUCGUAGUUCUACAUGCAAAUAAGACAGGCCGAUCAGGGCAGAAAGCAGGUAUAAUGGACUUCAUGCUGAGACAGUGCAACACUAAGUAUUGAUAACCAAGAAGGUUUUGAACCCCAUCAGAAUGCACAAAAAUAAAAAAUGACUGAGCAGAACUUUGUUGUUGAAUCUUGGUGAUCUAUUUAAAGCUGUGAAACAAGUCCCUUAUUUUUCAUACAUAGUUACAUUUUCCGAGUUCUUAAUUGACUCCUCUCAUACAGAACAAAAUUCACCAGGUGUACAUCUUAUUUUCAGUAGCAAUGAUGGUAAUGAGAAGUCAUUAAACUCAUGGGUUACAGUUCA